rnacentral:rRNA from 1 species
GUGUGACUCGUCACACUAUCAUUAACUGAAUCCAUAGGUUAAUGAGGCGAACCGGGGGAACUGAAACAUCUAAGUACCCCGAGGAAAAGAAAUCAACCGAGAUUCCCCCAGUAGCGGCGAGCGAACGGGGAGGAGCCCAGAGCCUGAAUCAGCAUGUGUGUUAGUGGAAGCGUCUGGAAAGGCGCGCGAUACAGGGUGACAGCCCCGUACACAAAAGCGCAUGUGCUGUGAGCUCGAUGAGUAGGGCGGGACACGUGGUAUCCUGUCUGAAUAUGGGGGGACCAUCCUCCAAGGCUAAAUACUCCUGACUGACCGAUAGUGAACCAGUACCGUGAGGGAAAGGCGAAAAGAACCCCGGCGAGGGGAGUGAAAAAGAACCUGAAACCGUGUACGUACAAGCAGUGGGAGCACCCUUUGGGUGUGACUGCG